rnacentral:rRNA from 1 species
UACGAAGGGGGCAAGCGUUGUUCGGAAUUACUGGGCGUAAAGGGCGCGUAGGCGGUGCACUAAGUCAGGCGUGAAAGCCCUGGGCUCAACCCGGGAAUUGCGCUUGAUACUGGUGCGCUUGAAUCCAGGAGAGGUUGGUGGAAUUCCCAGUGUAGAGGUGAAAUGCGUAGAUAUCAGGAGGAACACCUGUGGUGUAGACAGCUUACUGGACCACUUCUGACGCUGAGACACGAAAGCGUGGGUAGCAAACAGG